GUGGGGAAUCUUAGACAAUGGGCGCAAGCCUGAUCUAGCCAUGCCGCGUGAGCGAUGAAGGCCUUAGGGUUGUAAAGCUCUUUCAGGGGGGAAGAUAAUGACGGUACCCCCAGAAGAAGCCCCGGCUAACUCCGUGCCAGCAGCCGCGGUAAUACGGAGGGGGCUAGCGUUGUUCGGAAUUACUGGGCGUAAAGCGCACGUAGGCGGAUCAGAAAGUCAGAGGUGAAAUCCCAGGGCUCAACCUUGGAACUGCCUUUGAAACUCCUGAUCUUGAGGUCGAGAGAGGUGAGUGGAAUUCCGAGUGUAGAGGUGAAAUUCGUAGAUAUUCGGAGGAACACCAGUGGCGAAGGCGGCUCACUGGCUCGAUACUGACGCUGAGGUGCGAAAGCGUGGGGAGCAAACAGGAUUAGAAACCCCUGUAGUCC
rnacentral:rRNA from 1 species